rnacentral:rRNA from 1 species
UACGUAGGGUGCAAGCGUUAUCCGGAAUUAUUGGGCGUAAAGAGCGUGUAGGCGGCCAGGUAGGUCUGCUGUGAAAACUCGAGGCUUAACCUCGAGCUGUCGGCGGAAACCAUCUGGCUAGAGUCCGGAAGAGGAGAAUGGAAUUCCCGGUGUAGCGGUGAAAUGCGCAGAUAUCGGGAAGAACACCCGUGGCGAAGGCGGUUCUCUGGGACGGUACUGACGCUGAGACGCGAAAGCGUGGGGAGCGAACAGG